AUCCAUUAAAUCCAUUUAAAGAUGAGAGAACAAUGACCAUUAAUUGCAAAACAAAUUCAGAAAAUUUAAACAGCUCAAAAAGUUUGUGUUCAUCAACCCAGAACUGUACAGAAGAUUCCAAGAAAUGUUUAUCGACGGGAAAUAUCUGUUCAUGCAGGUCUGGGUAUAUAGGAUUCGAAAAUAAAUGUUUAAAGGGAAAUUUGAAAUUGAAUGACACAUGUCAGCGAAAUGAGCAGUGUUCUAUGGUAUCAGGCUUGAUUUGUCAGAAUGAUACAUGCGUCCGUCGGCGUGGAUAUUUUUCACUGAAUGAUUCAGAAUGUU